rnacentral:rRNA from 1 species
AUUGAACGCUGGCGGCAGGCCUAACACAUGCAAGUCGAGCGGAUGAAGGGAGCUUGCUCCUGGAUUCAGCGGCGGACGGGUGAGUAAUGCCUAGGAAUCUGCCUGGUAGUGGGGGAUAACGUCCGGAAACGGGCGCUAAUACCGCAUACGUCCUGAGGGAGAAAGUGGGGGAUCUUCGGACCUCACGCUAUCAGAUGAGCCUAGGUCGGAUUAGCUAGUUGGUGGGGUAAAGGCCUACCAAGGCGACGAUCCGUAACUGGUCUGAGAGGAUGAUCAGUCACACUGGAACUGAGACACGGUCCAGACUCCUACGGGAGGCAGCAGUGGGGAAUAUUGGACAAUGGGCGAAAGCCUGAUCCAGCCAUGCCGCGUGUGUGAAGAAGGUCUUCGGAUUGUAAAGCACUUUAAGUUGGGAGGAAGGGCUGUAAGUUAAUACCUUGCUGUUUUGACGUUACCAACAGAAUAAGCACCGGCUAACUUCGUG